UCUGCUAUUAAGACCCUGGAGGCA
rnacentral:piRNA from 1 species